UUUGAAUGAUAAAAACAUAUAUUUGUUACAAUAGAAUAUUACUAAUGCAACUGCAAUUUUUGCUACCAGCACUACAACUUGCUAUCCACCAAAUAUGACCACAAUUUUUCCUAAUACCACCACAAAAUUACCCUAAACUUAAACUGCCCACCACAAUACACUUUUCUUAACCAUCAACAAUUCCAACUGUAAUGGAAUUGAUGGUGAGAUUGUAAAACCCUAAAUCCUAAACCUGGUGAGAUUGUACAUGUAGAGGCAGUGGAGCACUUCGGAAGAUUUGAACUGCGGUUUGGUUGUGUUUACGGCAAUCCGUGGGCACAAACAAGCGAGUGCAAGAAGGUGAGCUUUCGGGUCGUUGCAAAUGCGGGACUCCAUGGCUGCUGAUGCGCGUGGAAGCUUGCACAUUUGAGCUUGCACCUUGAAAUUGCUGUUGCGUGCGAAUUUGGACGCGCAAGGGGAGAACGGUGGAGUCCGUAACCAAAUUCAGUGUGGAGAAGGUGGGCUGCCGACGACGCUGCGACACUGAGGGUGCGGAGAUCUGAUAACUGUCCCAGCUCAGUGAAAAGGCCGCAAGGCUGUUGAUCUUGUGGUUGGUCUAGGAUUUGAGCGCCUGGAGUGGUGCGUAAUGCGCUUCAACGCCCCUCUGUUU
rnacentral:lncRNA from 1 species